rnacentral:piRNA from 1 species
UUNUAAGAGCCUGGAGCGGGUGCAGGAGU